UAAAAACCCCGACUUCGGAAGGGGUGUAUUUAUUAGAUACARAACCAAUGCCCUUCGGGGCUCUUUGGUGAUUCAUGAUAACUAUACGAAUCGCACGGCCUUGCGCCGGCGAUGGUUCAUUCAAAUUUCUUCCCUAUCAACUUUCGAUGUUUGGGUAUUGGCCAAACAUGGUUGCAACGGGUAACGGAGGGUUAGGGCUCGACCCCGGAGAAGGAGCCUGAGAAACGGCUACUACAUCCAAGGAAGGCAGCAGGCGCGCAAAUUACCCAAUCCCGACUCGGGGAGGUAGUGACAAUAAAUACUGAUACAGGGCCCUUUCGGGCCUUGUAAUUGGAAUGAGUACAAUUUAAAUCCCUUAACGAGGAACAAUUGGAGGGCAAGUCUGGUGCCAGCAGCCGCGGUAAUUCCAGCUCCAAUAGCGUAUAUUAAAGUUGUUGUGGUUAAAAAGCUCGUAKUUGAACCUUGGGCCUGGCUGGCCGGUCCGCCUCACCGCGUGCACUGGUCCGGCCGGGCCUUUCCCUCUGUGGAACCCCAUACCCUUCACUGGGCGUGGCGGGGAAACAGGACAUUUACUUU
rnacentral:rRNA from 1 species